ACUUGUGCUCCCUUUGUCUCCCUCUUCUGGUGAACACAGGGGUUAGAAAAAGCUGGGGUCCACCUAGAGAGGGUGUCAUCAUCAAAACCAAUCAAGAACUUUUUAGAGCAAAAUAUGAGAAAACAAAAUGCAUUUGGUUUGGCCCUGAAACCUGUAGUUUAUUAAAUGAGUCUUAUGUUGAUAUCUUGAUAUUUUGUGUGUGAAAUGCAGGUCUACUACUCUAAACCUGAAGAUCCAGUGAUAUACAGCACUAUAAAUGAUGAAAACCCAAAUGAUCCCAGCAAGAACAUAACCACCUACAGUACUAUUGAUCAUGUUCCUGGGAGUGAAGCAAAUCCUCCAGCAGGUGGAACAAUAUACAGCACUGUGGCUCCACACUGACAGCAACAGUGUGAAAAAGAGAUCCUGCUGACCAAGAGAAACAAAAUACAACAACAAGGGACUGUCAUCACAACUUUUUGGUAGAUUUUUUAACAAAUACACAAACACUGAAUCCACUCAUGCAGGUGACUUUUUCCUGUUGAUUGUUUUUAUUUGCAUUUUAUUUUACAUUGUUUGUGAACUUUUUAUCAAAUUUGUAUUUUCAGAAGGACCCAUAUGAAACAAUGUGAGGGUCAAAAUUGAAAGGAUUAUUGCAAAUUAAGUUUAUAGUUCAUAACUAUUAAAAGAUUGUUUUUAACAGUAUGUACAGUUAUAAUUUCUAUUAAAGUAUCUCUGUUUCAUUUCUUCACUGUAGAAAUCACUUUCAGUGUAUUUGUGGAAUAUUUAUUUGCUUUAUGCUCAUUCAACAGACUACACUUAAAGGAUGUAAACUAUGUGAACUAUUAGACG